rnacentral:lncRNA from 1 species
GGAGGACAACUUGGGAGAGAUGUAGUACUUAGUAGAAUUCAUGCAUGUUCGUCUUUGCAACAAUCGGAUAUGAACCUCGUCAACAUCCGCAGGGUACGUACCAAAAUGCAAAUUGAGUUGGUCUGUGCUGUAAAGUUUUUUUUUAUUGAAGAUGCCAUCUAUUUCCUUCUCUUUACAACUUCAAGUUUCGUUUAGACAUGGUUUUUUCACCUAACAUUUGCUCAAAGCACCGAGACCAGUAAAAGAACAUCCCUUCAAGCACGUGAUUAUUAUAGCAAUAUUUUACGCUAAGAAUUACA